GCACUGGUGUUGCAAUGGUCUAGCAUCCUUGCCUUGCCAGCAAGAGAUCCGGGUUCGAUUCCUGGUCAGUGCA